GGAAGUGGUUGAGUGGCUGGUGCCCUCCGGAGGCUUCAAACCUCGGCUGUCUCACCAAAAGUGAGAGGAAGGUUCGAUUCCUUCACACUUCC
rnacentral:tRNA from 1 species